CACAGCAGCUUUAAUGACGUCUAGUCUAGUCUAAAAUUGGAUUCCACUGUGUGUGUGUGGUGGCGUUGUUAUUUCAUAAAAGCAAUAGCUAAAAGAAAAUCUAUGUGGGAAGAGGAUGUGACACAUUUUAGAUUAUUCCGGAACACCAACCGAACACCAACCAACUCUCAGUUUGUCAAGGUAAGAAGAAACCCGCCCCGGCUGUCAGAUGGAAUGCCACGCCCGCAAACGUACGAACCUAGCUUCACAUGCCAUUUUCUUCAGGCCUGGCAUUUCGACAAGAAAGUCAUAACUCAAUCACCCUCCAAUCCCUUAACUUGACUUGAAAAUCAUUGCCCCUUGAGUGAACAAGCCGGCCAUCUGUCAGACAAAGGAAUUUCGACGCUAUCGACCAGGAAAAAAAAGUCAAGGUGACGUGAAAACCUCGUGAGUGAAUCACAAGACUAAUCAUAAAUUGACAUGCUAUCUCUACAACUACUACAACAACAACUAGAUAUCAUCAGAUUUGGUAGGAAAAAAGAUUACCUGCACGUUUGACUGGGAGAGAGAGAGAGAAUACGCCCUUUGACAGUUGGAUUCUUGUAUGGAAGGGAAACGUCGACGAUAUCACCAGU